rnacentral:lncRNA from 1 species
GCUCCUCGACCUGUCACUGCUCGGCUACGCCUCCUAUGCCGGUGCUCGAAUUGUGUCACUGGCGAUCAACAGGAAGCUCCGGCGGCGGGUCUGCAUUCUGAUCCUCUCGGUUGACUUUCUAAUCCUGCUGCGGAUCGUCUUCCUCGGCCUGUCGAUCCUGCCGGUGCCCGGCGGCCCGCCCUUCGAGGCUCUCGUGUUCUUGGCCUUCCUGAUGCAGCUGCUCUGUGCCGCGGCGGGCGUGUCCGUGCUGGUCUUCUACCCGGUGGCGGACUCCCUGGCGCUGAGAGGGGCCCUGCAUUUUGACAUUGGAGAGGCGCCCUUCGACGACUAUUACAGCGAUGGCGC